rnacentral:sRNA from 1 species
AACUUGAUGAAAGUGCAACUGAAGGAGUUAUUAAAGUGUGGAGGAAAGUUGUAGAUAGAAUAUUCAGCCUGUACAAACUCUCUUGCAGUGCAUACUUUACUUUCCUUAAACUCAACGCUGGUCAAAUUCCUUUAGAUGAGGAUGACCCUAGGCUGCAUUUAAGUCACAGAGUGGAACAGAGCACUGAUGACAUGAUCGUGAUGGCCACAUUGCGCCUGCUGCGGUUGCUCGUGAAGCACGCUGGUGAGCUUCGGCAGUAUCUGGAGCACGGCUUGGAGACAACACCCACUGCACCAUGGAGAGGAAUUAUUCCGCAACUUUUCUCACGCUUAAACCACCCUGAAGUGUAUGUGCGCCAGAGUAUUUGUAACCUUCUCUGCCGUGUGGCUCAAGAUUCCCCACAUCUCAUAUUGUAUCCUGCAAUAGUGGGUACCAUAUCGCUUAGUAGUGAAUCCCAGGCUUCAGGAAAUAAAUUUUCCACUGCAAUUCCAACUUUACUUGGCAAUAUUCAAGGAGAAGAAUUGCUGGUUUCUGAAUGUGAGGGAGGAAGUCCUCCUGCAUCUCAGGAUAGCAAUAAGGAUGAACCUAAAAGUGGAUUAAAUGAAGACCAAGCCAUGAUGCAGGAUUGUUACAGCAAAAUUGUAGAUAAGCUGUCCUCUGCAAACCCCACCAUGGUAUUACAGGUUCAGAUGCUCGUGGCUGAACUGCGCAGGGUCACUGUGCUCUGGGAUGAGCUCUGGCUGGGAGUUUUGCUGCAACAACACAUGUACGUCCUGAGACGAAUUCAGCAGCUUGAAGAUGAGGUGAAGAGAGUCCAGAACAACAACACCUUACGCAAAGAAGAGAAAAUUGCAAUCAUGCGGGAGAAGCACACAGCUUUGAUGAAGCCCAUCGUAUUUGCUUUGGAGCAUGUGAGGAGUAUCACAGCGGCUCCUGCAGAAACACCUCAUGAAAAAUGGUUUCAGGAUAACUAUGGUGAUGCCAUUGAAAAUGCCCUAGAAAAACUGAAGACUCCAUCGAACCCUGCAAAGCCUGGGAGCAGCUGGAUUCCAUUUAAAGAGAUAAUGCUAAGUUUGCAACAGAGAGCACAGAAACGUGCAAGUUACAUCUUGCGUCUUGAAGAAAUCAGUCCAUGGUUGGCUGCCAUGACUAACACUGAAAUUGCUCUUCCUGGGGAAGUCUCAGCCAGAGACACUGUCACAAUCCAUAGUGUGGGCGGAACCAUCACAAUCUUACCGACUAAAACCAAGCCAAAGAAACUUCUCUUUCUUGGAUCAGAUGGGAAGAGCUAUCCUUAUCUUUUCAAAGGACUGGAGGAUUUACAUUUGGAUGAGAGAAUAAUGCAAUUCCUAUCUAUUGUGAAUACCAUGUUUGCUACAAUUAAUCGCCAAGAAACACCCCGGUUCCAUGCUCGACACUAUUCUGUAACACCACUAGGAACAAGAUCAGGACUAAUCCAAUGGGUAGAUGGAGCCACACCCUUAUUUGGUCUUUACAAACGAUGGCAACAACGGGAAGCUGCCUUACAAGCACAAAAGGCCCAAGAUUCCUACCAAACUCCUCAGAAUCCUGGAAUUGUACCCCGUCCUAGUGAACUUUAUUACAGUAAAAUUGGCCCUGCUUUGAAAACAGUUGGGCUUAGCCUGGAUGUGUCCCGUCGGGAUUGGCCUCUUCAUGUAAUGAAGGCAGUAUUGGAAGAGUUAAUGGAGGCCACACCCCCGAAUCUCCUUGCCAAAGAGCUCUGGUCAUCUUGCACAACACCUGAUGAAUGGUGGAGAGUUACGCAGUCUUAUGCAAGAUCUACUGCAGUCAUGUCUAUGGUUGGAUACAUAAUUGGCCUUGGAGACAGACAUCUGGAUAAUGUUCUUAUAGAUAUGACGACUGGAGAAGUUGUUCACAUAGAUUACAAUGUUUGCUUUGAAAAAGGUAAUAUAAAAGUAGACUUUACAUUUAUGAGGGCCAAAUGUUUUUUGGUGAAAGGGCAAAAAUAUAAUGAUUUGUCUUUUCAAGGUAAAA